rnacentral:rRNA from 1 species
GACGAACGCUGGCGGCGUGCCUAAUACAUGCAAGUCGAACGCAGUUGCGAACGGGUGAGUAACGCGUUGGUAACUGCCUCAUACCGGGGUUUAACUUAUGGAAACGAUAGCUAAUACAGCACACUGUGAGAUGGACCUGCGUUGUAUUAGCUUGUUGGUGAGGUAAUGGCGCACCAAGGCGACGAUACAUAGCCGACCUGAGAGGGUGAUGGGCGACACUGGGACUAAGACACGGCCCAGACUCCUACGGGAGGCAGCGGUAGGGGAUGUUGGGCAAUGGGCGGAAGGCUGGACGGGCAACGGCGGGGGAGUGAAGAAGGGUUUGGAGUCGUAAGGCUCGUUUGUUAGAGAAGCGGUAACUAGCGAGGAAGGGACGGCUAACUACGUGCCAGCAGCCGCGGUAAUAC